CUUGACGACCAUAGAGCGUUGGCACCACCUGAUCCCAUCCCGAACUCAGCAGUGAAACGACGCAUCGCCGAU
rnacentral:rRNA from 1 species